GCCUUCGCGAUGUAGUGGUCAGCACGCUCGACCGGUAACCGAGAGGUCAGUGGUUCGACUCCCGGCGAAGGCG
rfam:Stegodyphus mimosarum contig67153, whole genome shotgun sequence.